rnacentral:tRNA from 1 species
GGGUCGUUAGCUCAGAUGGUAGAGCAGUUGACUUUUAAUCAAUUGGUCGCAGGUUCGAAUCCUGCACGACCCACCA